UUGGGGAAACAAUGCAGCAUUCAGGGGAUCUCUUCUACAAUGUGGGCACUCCGUCCUUGGAGCAAACUCACAGCAGCCCAGAGGUUUUGGUGGAUUCUAGCCCUGAAGUCCUGGGCCUUUACAAAUCUGAUAAAGCCUAUCAGGUCCGGGGCCAUUUUCAGCAAUCGGGACCAGUAAAGUGGAUCCCUCAAAACCCAAUGCAGACUGCGACUUGGAUUCAGGGCGUCCCGAACAUGAACAAGUGGUCACAGAACUUUGGCCCUUCUGUAGGUGGUAUAGAUGAUCCAAGAGGCUUUCACAAAAGUCAUGAAAUGGAGGCUGUAAAGUUGGAGAAGCCUUCACCAAGUUCAUCACAGUCCUACACAGACACUGUUCAUGUUCCCGGGGCAGAUUGGGACCAUCACACGAUGGCUGCCAUGCAUCAUGCUCAAUUUCAGGAGCUCCAACAAAGUCACAGACCUGCAGACCUCCAGUAUCAGCCACAGGGAAUGCAUCACGAUGUGUCCGACUCCACUCUGCAACCCUUCCAGUUGGCAUUUGGACCUACCAAGCAACCACAGGCGCCUGGUUUCCAACAAGUCUUCCAAGGCAACAGUGUGCCUUUAAAUAUGAAUUAUAAUGAGAAGCCGAAGUCGCAACAGCAACUCUUGCAGUUGCAACAGCAGCAGCUUCAUUGUCAGCACCAGAUGCAACAAAUGCAGCAAAUGCAUCAGUUGCAGCAGCAGCAGCAACAACAACAACAACAGCAGCAUCAAAUGCAACAACAGCAACGGCUGCAGCAAAUGCAACAGCAGUACCAACAGCAGAAACAUCUGCAACAGAUGCAGCAGCAGCUGCAACAGCAUGCACAAGGUUUUCAACAACGAGAGACUACAGAAAAGCAGCGAGUCAAACAAGACGUUGAGUCACAAGAUCUUGCCAGCGCUCGGGUAAAAACAGAACUGAGCCAGACUCAGCUUAUGGUCCCUCAACCACAACAUCCUGUUCCUCAGGGAGCAAAUUAUCAGGAAUCUGGAUCUGCAGAGGACACUCCAGAACUCCAGGAGACCCCAAAAAAACGCCAGGUCUUCCCUCGCCGCUCUCGACGGCUCUCCAAAGAUGGAGUCUCUCCUCAAGGCAACCAGACAUCCAGUGACAAGGUUUCUGCCCAGAAUGGAGGAGUUGGUGGAGUCCAAGGACCCGCAGUAGGGGUCAUCCAAAGCACUCCCAGACGACGGAGGGCCUCAAAGGAGAUCAACCUUGAGACUCUUGCUCAAAAGGCUUCAGAGAUGGAUUUUUUGCCAGCAAAGGUGAGCCUAUUUCAUUUGGAAAUCUUUUGUAACAUAAUAAAUGUCUUUAUUGUCACUUUUGAUAAAUUUAAUGUCAUUAUUGAAUAGAAGUAUUUAUUUCAAAACAAUUAUCUUACUAACCACAAACGUUUGAAUGGUUAGCAUGCAUGUAUGUGUAUGUAUAUAUGCUGGAAUGUUUUGCUGCUUUGAUGGUGUACUAAGUUGUUU
ensembl:lncRNA